AUGGCCUGAGUUUCCCACUCGCCUCUGUCCCAGCCCCAGCGACAGUUUAUGGAAGACCUUUACCAGUACGUACAGGUGGGAAUCUUGCCUUUUCUCUCCUACCAGAGAUUUCAUACUUACCGAUGCACCAGCUUUCCCCAUAAACUAGCUCCCAGGCCCUGUGAUCACUGCCCUCUCCCUCCCCUCAGCUGCUUUGCUGUUUUGCUGUCUCUGUGAUGGUCCUCAAGACUCAGGUCCAGGGCUGGUCUCCAUCGAGUCUUUCAGUGGAAGCAGAGAAGAGCCAUUUCCCCACAUCCAUUCCUGACCCGUUGUUCCCAGAACGUGGGCCUUGCCAUUGUGGGCACCACCCACUGCUGCUCUGCCAACCCCAGCCCUGCCUUGGGCACGGGCUGACUCCUGUAGGCUUGUGGAGAUCGCGUGCCCUCCUGCCUACGUUUCAGAAGUCAAAGCUCAUUCUUGCUCUUCUUUAUCUUGUCUCUGCAUCAUGGGUGAAUCAGCAUCUGGGCCGACCCAUGGGGCUCGGCUGCUCGUGCUGUAUCUGAGUCUGGACCUGGGACUCAACAGGACCCUAGGUCUCUGACUUUCUAGCCACCAUCACACUUUCUGGCUUCUCCUCCCAGCGUGUUCUGUGUCCUAGCCUGAGAAUCAGCUUGGAGGACGUCUCCAGUGUCUGCCGUAUCCCCCAAGUUAAGUGACUGAGCCUCUCACCAGCCCUGUGUAGGCAGCAGCACUGGUCACUGGCAGGCCUCCCCAGAUUCCUCUCCUGGGGUGUCUGUGUCUUUCAUGCCAUUGGCACCUGGCCAGAGGUAUGUCUCCGGGCAGCCCUCUUCCAUGCACCUGCUGAGGCUCUGGAAAGUGCCUCUUGUUUUCUCCGCUGCCUGGGUUUCCCCCAGGCGAUGGGUUUGGGGGACUGGUUGAGCACUGUAAUAUCCAGAGAGUCCAUGGGGUUUUAACAAGCACAGACUGUCUGGAAAGUGUCUUCAGACUCUUCACACUCCUUUGACUGGAGACCAUGUCUUCAAAAAUCCUCUUCCUUUGCGCCAGAGCUUCAGGGGAGAGGGUGCCCUGCACGCCUCUGGUGUCUUAGGUUCCUGGGAGCAGAAAGACGGGGAUUCAAGAACACAUGUUUUAUUGAGGGAAAACACUCAGGAGGAGUCUGUGGGAGAGGGAGAGAAGCAGAGAAAAGCAGAAGGAAGGGGCCGAAAAGGAUGCUUUCUGAGGCCAAGGUCAGCUUUGUCCUGCUUCAUUGUGGGGGAUGGUCAAUCCUGUAGCUCAGAUCACAGCCAGGAUGGGUCAGGGGCCAAGGUACUUAUAUUAGUCAGUCAGUCCUUGGACAACCCCAGGCCAUGGGGAACUCAGCCUUCAGGGAGCAGUUCUGAGGACAGAGCCCCUGCUUUAGCCUUGGCAUCUGGGGGAUGUAGUGCCAACUGCCAGGGGAUAUCUGAGCUGGCACUGACUGCAGUGGGAGCUCAGGAAGAAGGAAGCUAAUUCUUAUUGAAGGGCUGCUGUGUGCGGGUGUGGGGAGCUUCUGCAUCCAUCUUCUCAUUUAAUUCUUUUUUUUAAUUUAUUUUCUAUUCUUUUUGUCUAUUUAGGGCCACACCUGCAGCAUAUGAAAGUUCCCAGGCUAGGGGUCGCAUUCCCACAGCCACAGCAACACCAGAUCUGAGCCACAUCUGUGACCUACGCCACAGCUCAUGGCAAAGCCGGAUCCUUAACCCACUGAGCGAGGCCAGGGUUAGAACCUGAAUCCUCAUGGAUACUCGUCAGGUUCGUUAACCACUGAGCCAUGGUGGGAACUCUGUUUUUUUUCUUGCUCUUUUUUUUUUUUGGACUUUACGUAUCCUGGAUAUAAAUUUAUUGUUAGUGUUAUAUUUGGUCUAUGGCUUGUCUUUUCUAUUCGAUGGUGGUUAUUUUAAACCUUAAUGCAUCGUAUUUUUCCUCUAUGGUUUGUGUUGUCUGUUUUUCAUAAUAUUUUUCUUCUAGUUUAUUGAGAUAUGAAUGGCAUACAGCACAGUAUAAGUUUAAGGUGUACAGCAUAAUGAUUUGACUUACAGACAUCAUGAAAUGAUUAUCAUAUUAAAUUUAGCGAACAUCCAUCAUCUUAUAUAGGUAAAAAAUUAAGGAAAUAGAAAAAAAUUUUCCUUAUGAUGAGAACGCUUAGGAUUUACUCUCUAAACAACGUUCACUUAUUACCUACAACAUUGUUAAUUAUAUUUAUCAUGUUGUACAUACAUCAUAUCCCCAGUACUUAUUUAUCUUCUAACUGGAAGUUUGUACCUUUUGCCUACUUUCAUCUUAUUCCCCCCACCUGAACCCACCACCUGAUCUCUUAUUCUGUUAAGGUUGUUUGGUUUUGAACUGUGACUCACUUAUUUUGUAACUAGGAGUCAGUCCCUCUUAAUCUCCCUCACCUAUUUCUCUCCUUCAUUCCCCCUCUUCCCUGGUAACCACCCGUUUCUUCUCUGUAUCUAUGACUUUGCUUCUGUUUGGUUAUAUUUGUUCAUUUCUUAUCUAGAUUACAUAUACGAGUGAAAUCAUACAGUAUUUGUCUUUUUCUGUCUGAUGUAUUUCACUUAAUAUAAUAGCCCUUAGGUUCAUCCAUACUGUUGCAAGAUUUCAUUCUUUCUUAACGGCUGAGUAGUAUUCCAUUGUGUGAUACCUCCUAUCUGUCUGUCUGUCUGUCUGUCUAUCUAUCUGUCUGUCUAUCCAUCUAUCCAUCUAUCAUAUAUCAUAUCUACUUUAUCCAUUCAUCUAUUUAUGGGCACUUAGGAUGCUUUCACAUGUUGGCUAUUGUAAAUAGUGCUGCAAUGAACAUAAGGGUGCAUGUAUCUUUUCAAAUUAGUGUUUUUGUUUUCUUUGGAUAAAUACCCAGAAGUGAAAUUGCUAGAUCAUAUGGUUGUUCUAUUUUGACUUUUUUUUUGAGGAAUCUUUAUACUGUUUUCCGUAGUGGCUGCACCAGUUUACAUUCCCACCAGCAGCACACAAGGGUUCCCUUUCUCUGCAUCCUUGCCAAUACCUGUUAUUGUCUUUUUGAUAAUAGCCAUUCUGGCAGACGUAUGGUGAUGUCUCCUUGUGGUUUUAGUUUGCAUUUCCCUAAUAAUUAAUGAUGCUGAGCAUCUUUUCGUAUGCCCCUUGUCCAUCUGUAUGUCUUCUUUGGAAAAAUGUCUAUUCAGGUCCUCUGCCACCUUUUUAAUACACCAGUCUUUUGUUUUUUGAUGUUGAGUUGUAUGAGUUCUUUGUGUAUUUUGCAUAUGAAUACCUUAUUGGAUGUAUCAUUUGCAAAUGUCUUCUCUCAUUCAGUGGGCAGCCUUUGCAUUUUGUUGAUAGUUUCCUUUACUGUGCAAAAGCUUUUUAGUUUGAUGUAGUCCCAUUUGUUUAUUUUUGCUUUGUUUUCCUUUCCUGAUGAGAUAUAUCCAGAAAAAUAUUGCUAAGAACAAUGUCAAAGAAUGUCCUGCCUGUGUUUUCUUCUAGAAGUUUUGGGGUUUCAGGUCUUACAUUUAAGCCCUUACUUCAUUUUGAGUUUAUUUUUCUGUGUGGUGUGAGAAAGUCCAGGUUGAUUCUCUUGCAUGUAGCUGUCCAGCUGUCCCAAUGUUAUUUAUGGAAGAGGCUCUCUUUUCCCUAUUGUAUAGUUGCCUCCUUUGUUGUAGAUUAAUUAUCCAUAUAAGUGUGGGUUUAUUUCUGGACCCUCUAUUCUGUUCCAUCAAUCUAUAGUCUGUUAUUUUGCCAACACCAUACUAUUUUGAUGACUGUAGCUUUGUAGUAUGGUUAAAAAUCAUGGAGUGUGAUAUCUCCAGUUUUGUUCUUCUUUCUCAAGAUUGUUUUGGCUCUUUGGAGUCUUUUGUGUUUGCAUACACUUUUAGAAUUAUCUGUUCUAGUUCUGUGAAAAAUGUCACAUGUAGUUUGAUAGAGAUCACAUUGAAUCUGUAUAUUCCCUUGAAUAGUAUGAUCGUUUCAACAAUAUUAAUUCUUCUAAUCCAUGAGCAUGAUGUAUUCUCUUUGUUUGUGUCAUCUUUGGUUUCCUUCAUCAGUGUCUUAGAGUUUUCUGAGUGUGGGUCUUUCAGUUCCUUAGUUAGAUUUAUUCCUAAGUACUGUAUUAUUUUUGAUGUGAUUGUAAGUGGGAUUGUUUUCUUAUUUUUUUUAUAAUAGUUCAUUGUUAGUGUAUAGAAAUGCAACAGGGAGUUCCCUUUAUGGCUCAGUGGGUUAAGAAUCCAGCUAGUAUCCAUGAGGAUGUGGGUUUGAUCCCUGGCCUCACUCAGUGGGUUAAAGAUCCUGCGUUGCCAUGAGCUAUGGUGUAGGCCACAGAGGCAGCUCAGAUCCUGCGUUGCUGAGGCUGUGGUGUAG
rnacentral:lncRNA from 1 species